GAUGAACGCUAGCGGCAGGCCUAACACAUGCAAGUCGAGGGGCAUCGCGGUGCAGCAAUGCACUGGCGGCGACCGGCGUACGGGUGCGUAACGCGUAUGCAACCUGCCCCGCACCGGGGGAUAGCCCGCCGAAAGGCGGAUUAAUACCCCAUGGUCCCGGGGGCCCGCAUGGGCAUCCGGGUAAAGCCUUGGCGGUGCGGGAUGGGCAUGCGUGCCAUUAGCUGGCUGGUGGGGUAACGGCCCACCAGGGCAACGAUGGCUAGGGGGUCUGAGAGGAUGGUCCCCCACACUGGUACUGAGACACGGACCAGACUCCUACGGGAGGCAGCAGUGAGGAAUAUUGGUCAAUGGGCGGAAGCCUGAACCAGCCAUGCCGCGUGCGGGAUGAAGGCCCUACGGGUUGUAAAGUGCUUUUUGAGGGGAUGAGGAAGGACAGUACCCUCAGAAUAAGUCUCGGCCAACUACGUG
rnacentral:rRNA from 1 species